AUUGAACGCUGGCGGCAGGCCUAAUACAUGCAAGUCGAGCGAGCGUCGGAUGGGUGCGUAAUGUAUGGGGAUCUGCCUGCUGGCGGGGGAUAACUACUGGAAACGGUAUCUAAUACCUCAUACUAUCAUAUGAACCCAUAUGGGAUGAGCUUGUGGGUGUGGAAACGGCUCACCUAGGCGCCGUUCCCUAGCUGGUCGGAGAGGAUGAUCAGCCAAACUGGAACUGCGACACGGCCCAGACUCCUCCGGGAGGAGGCAGGGGGAAAUAUUGCACAAGGGGCGAAAGCCGGCUGCAGCAAUGCCGCGUGGAUGAAGAAGGCCUUCGGGUUGUAAAGUACUUUCAGUCGGGAGGCGGUACCGACAGAAGAAGCACCGGCUAACUCCGUGCCAGCAGCCGCGGUAAUUC
rnacentral:rRNA from 1 species